AGCCAGGGAUUUCAACCACGCUACCAGAGUUGUGUGAUCCGUCUUCUGCGUAUCGCCGGAAUUUCGAAUCGCGAUGGUCCUCCCCUCCCUAGAGGAGCUGGACUCCCUCAAGUACAGCGACCUGCAGAACUUAGCCAAGAGUCUGGGUCUCCAGGCCAACCUGAGGGCAGACAAGUUGUUAAAAGCCUUGAAAGGCCACAUUAAUCCUGAGCAAGAAAAGGAAAUGAGAAUCAGGAUGAAAGUCAAACUUCUGCAUCCUCUUGUGAUGAGACUGAGAUACAGAGCAGCAGGCAGGAACAAGCCGAGAGAGAGAGCCAACUGGCCAUGUCACCAAACAAGGAGAAGGCACAAGACUGUCCGUGUGGACCCUGACUCCCAGCAGGAUCAUUCAGAGAUAAAAAUAAGUGAUCACACUGAAUUUCAGAAUCAUGAAAAGCAGGAAAGGCAGGAUUUUAGAGCUACUGAAAAAGUUUAUUCUCCAGAUGAGCACCAAGGAGCUAAGAAUGGCGUUUCCUCCGGAAAACGUGGAAUAAAUGGUAACAAAGAUUCAAAGAUACCUUCAGAAAGAAUCUCUCUACACAAAUGAGUUAACCAAACCUGGAAAAAAUAAAAGAACUGCAAGGACUACUCCAAACUUUAAGAAGCUUCAGGAAGCUCAUUUUAAGGAAAUGGAGUCCAUUGAUCAAUAUAUUAAGAGAAAAAAGAAACAUUUUGAAGAAUACAAUUCCAUCAGUGAACUGAAGCAGCCCAUCAAUAAGGGAGGAGUCAUGACUCCGGUACUGCCAAAAGGAAGACUCUCUGUGGCUUCUACACCCAUGAGCCAAUGACGCUCUCAAGGCCAGUCUCACGGCCCUGCAUGUCAGAGUACCUUGGGUCUGAAGGGGUCACUCAAGUGCUCUGCUAACUCUGCAGCUAAAACACGUGUCAGGUUUUCAACUGCUACUAAAGAUAAUGAGCAUAAGCGUUCACUGAACAAGACUCCAGCCAGAAGGUCUGUACAUGUGACCAUGUCUGGGAAUACCCCAAAAAGCAAGGCUAUAUUUGGGACACACAAAAUAAAGACCACCAAGAAGAAUUCUGCUGUUAUUACCCCAUUCAAGUUGACAACUGAGGCAAUGCAGACUCCAGUCUCGAAUAAGAAACCAGUGUUUGAUCUUACAGCAAGUUUGUCUCAUCCCCUCAGCUAUGAACCACACAAAGGAAAGCUAAAACCAUGGGGGCAAUCUAAAGAAAAUAAUUAUCUGAAUGGACAUGUCAACAGAAUUAAUUUCCACAAGAAAACUUACAAACAACCCCGUCUCCAGACAAAGGAAGAGCAACGGAAGAAACAUGAGCAAGAACGAAAGGAGAAGAAAGCAAAGGUUUUGGGAGUGCGAAGGGGCCUCAUUUUGGCCGAAGAUUAGUAAUUUUUUAACAUCUUGUAAAUAUUCCUGUAUUUUCAACUAUUUUUCCUUUUGUAAAUUUUUUUUUUUUUUGCUUUCUUCCCCACUUUAGUCAUGAGAUCUUUUUCUGCUAACUGUUCAUAUUCUAUGUUGUGUCCAUGGGUUCUUCAUGUGCUAUAAUCUCUAAAAAGACAUUAUCACCUUAAAGCUCAAAUUCUUUGGAAUCCUUUUUGCUUAAGUCCCUAUACAACUCAGUUUUCUAAUGAGACCCA